GCUCAGUUGGCUAAGCAUCUGACUUUGGCUCAGGUCACGGUCUCACUGUUUGUGAGUUCAAGCCCCACACUGGGCU
rnacentral:tRNA from 1 species